UCAAAUCCAUUCACACUCUUUUUCUCAUUGGUUAUCAAAUCUCACCAGCAUUAUCUAUUACCUAGUCAUCUGCAAGAUUCUGUUAAUGGAUUGUUGCUUGCACGUUUUCUUCUCCACUCUCCAUAUAUGGGGAGCAAUGUGAUUUCUUUAAAAUGCUAACAGAAAGUGCCAUUCCCUAUAUUAGAACACUGUGCGGCUCCAUUACUCUUCGAAUAAGGUCAAACACCUCAUGCUGACCAACAAAGUCCCACGUGACUUGAUCCUGCUAUAUCUAGCCACAUCUUUGUUUACUGUCAUCCUUCCCUUGAAGCUUCAGACACAUUAUAUCCCUUAUCAGAAAGCUCAUUCCAUCAUGCUUUUGAACAACUGUUUUCUAAGUGUGGAAUAUACCUUGCAAUUUUGUUAUAGCUAGCUUGUCAAAGCUAAUGCCUCAGAGUAAAUGCUACUUUUGUCACUGUAAGUAUGUUGCUACUGCAAAAAAUGAGGAUCGUACUUAAGAGUCAUUUCAUAAUGGGUUUAAUUAUUUCACUUACAAGAAUUUUGGAAGGAUGGCACAGUGUUAGUUAACGAAAUAGCACAGAGAUAUCAAAGUACCCAUUCAGUUUCUAUGUUCAUUCUCUUUAUCUUGUUUUCAAGGUUAUGAUGGCUUCAGAUAAUUCAAGCAUAACACCAGAGGGGGAAGAUGCCCAGAGAAUGAACCAUGGAUAUUUAAAGCAAAAACAUACAUGAUAAACAAUAUUCUUCUUAUGGGUACUUCUGAAGAUUGAUGGGUACAAUGAAUAUAAUGUAUUCCAGAGAAAUACCUGGCACAGAUCACUUUUGAGGACAGAAGUUACAGACUGAAGAAGCCAAGAAAGUAACUUUGCGAUAUCAUGGUGGUUUAUAAUAUAGUAAUGACCUUCCCCAAAGAGACCCACAGAUGUUUCUUCAGAAUGAGGGAAGGCUCCAUUUCACUCACCAAGAUGGAAAACGAUGAGAGGAACAAC